UGAAUGUUAUGUGAUCAUUAAUGGGGCUCUCUAUCAAGCCUCAGGACCAAGGGGUUUCUCCCAUCUGGCCACUGGGCUUUGUGUAAGCUGUCUUGUUGGUGUGAUGAUACAGGGGUGCAUUAAGGCAGAGGGAAUGGACAGCUUGCACACCUGGAAAGACAUCAUGUUCCCAUCCUAUGCUGCCAUCCAGAUGACAACCACCAAAAUAAUCAUGACCUAGCUUGCUUCAGUGGCUGCUACACAACUCAAGAGGCUACUACCAGCUGACACCAACUUAGGAAAGGCAUUGCAAUGUGUUGCCCAAUCUCUCCCACCCUUUUCACCACGGCCUUCGAAAUCAUACUCAUAAUGGGAGACAAAUAGUCAGUAUGGAGUCAGACCAAUGACUGCCAGCUUUGAGGAGUUACAUGGACACUAACAACUCUUCUCCAAAGAUCAGCCUGUACCACGCAGAACCUGAAAAAGGCUUGAAGAACUUCUUUUUGCAUGGAGGAUUUGUAGGAACAUCCACCCAGCGCUUGGCAGGCAUUCAGAGCAGAACAGAGGGAUAUGGGUCACAGCGAAGUGAUCCCAGAAUCCCACUGCCUGCUUUCCACCCUCUCUUCCUGCCCCCCCAAACGCCCCACCAUCCGCUCUGGCACCAUCACAUUAACUGGAAAGACUUGUAGAUCCUGGCAGGCCUGGCAACUGGAGAGAGGCCACUGCACCACCCUCUCAGCACUGCUCCAAGUCGGUUUUCACCAAGACCAAAUGGAGGAAUCUGGAGAGUUCAGCUGUGCCAUGAAAGAAUAGCCUUCUGGGAACAUGUCUGGGAAAAUAGAAGGAGGCAAGGAUUCAGAGUAAGGCAGAGGAAUUGCAGAAGGGAUGCCAGGAUUUUCUUCACCAGCAGAACCAGGAGAGCCAAAGUGUGGAGUGCCAAGCCAAACGGAGGGAAGCCAGCUUAGAAAUAUAGAAAAGGAGAUGAUGGGAAUGGUAAGAAGCUGAAAAGAUUCAGUGAGAGCACUGCUGCGGAGGAUAGACACCAUCCAGAUGGUCAGCUCAGUUGCUUACAAUAAAUUAUUUAUCAACUUCUUUCAUUUAAUGAUGCCCAAAGCAUAAAACUUGGUCUUUACUUAGUAUUCAUGCUUCAAACAUGAAGUAUGAGUAUUCCUAUGAAUACUUGUUUUGUGACAAUUGCAUCACAUUAAUACAGAGAGUUAGCAUAAAUUAGACACAACUACAUAAUGAAUGCACAUGGCUCUCCAAGCAGUGAAGUGCCUUUGAGGGGUAUUAUGAUACAGCAGAACAAUGGCAGUGGACUUUUUAAGCUGAUUGCACUAGGCAUGUUUGAGUGAUUUGAAAUGAUGUUGAAAGAGACACUUUCUCACAGAUGUGUAUUAAGAUGAAAUCGCCUUUACGGAUUCUGAUAUUGCAAGGCUGUUUGUGAUAGAUUCUAACUUUUAGCUUAUAUUGUAGGUUAUUGCAAUUUACCUUUUUAUACAUUCAGUUCUAGUAUUUGGGAAGGUUUAUACAUUUUCGCUGACAGAGUAUUUUAUUUAAACUAAUAUUUGUUUAAAUUUCGUGUUCCCUAGCAUCCAGCUAGAAGUCAGUGCGUUCCAUUAAACAUGAUAGUUGUGCCAGCUCAUAGCAAAGUGAAGGAAAAAUAGACAAUUUGUAUGAGGUACUAAUGUUUGAAUGUAAUUUCUUCCCGGUGAGAUUCUAGCUAAGCAUUAAUAAUGAGACAGGACAGGCCUGUCGAGUUUAGAUUUCUCUAUAUUUUGAAGAGGUGUGAAAAUGCCUCUACAAAGAAAUAUGCAUUCCUACAAAAACGUGGACAAACACGUUGAAUGAAUUGCAUGGUUUGGUUUUCAGCAAGUUGCAUGUUCUUUAUAAAAGUACAAGUUAAUAGCCAAGUGUUAUUUCUAAGGCACUUGUCAUCAGAAGUUUAGAGGGACUCAUCAGUAUCAUGAAUGUUGUGGUAAUUUGGGGCUUUUGAUGAUUUCUUUGAAGUGUUUUUUCCAGGGUGGAAUAAUUGUACGGCAUACAUAUUUGGUGACUAUAAAAAAUAAGGUUACAUUUAUUUUGGAUUUUCUCUAAUCCACAUUGCCUUAAUGCCCAGAUAACUGGAACAUGACCAUAACAAAAAGCCAUGACAGGUACCGAUAGGUAGCUUGAAUAAUAGUAUAUAGUUAGAAUAUUAUCAUUUCAAUUGAUAACUGAACCAUUGUUUUCAUACAAUCCAGGUGGAAUCAUUAAAGCAGCCUCUCUAAAGAUGUUUUAAUUAACACACAUUCACCAGUUGCAACUAAUAAAAUUUGCUAAACAGUUUUGGUUAUUUUAUCUCAAAUAAAGAACCCAGUGUUUUAAAAACAUGGCACAUUAACACUUAAUCUGCUUCUGCAAGCAAAACUGUAUAAAUACAGCGGUAAUGUAAAAAAAAACUCAGCUGUGCAGGUGGUCUCUUUAUAUUCAGUUCAUGGACUUCUUUUUUCAACCAAAGGCUCCUAACCAAAUUUCUGGAGAUGCUGCCUGCCACCAGCAGUUCCCUGUCUUGCCACCAGGCAACUGCUUGGGAACCAAGG